GCAGUGUUUUAAAUCUUGGGUUUGA
rnacentral:piRNA from 1 species